UUUUUCACAAAACAUCUUACCGAGUCAACUGACUCGGUUGAACUCAUAGCUAGUUACGGGCCUGAUUAUGGGUUGAAAGAAAUGAAAUGUAAGUAACUUUACUAACUUAAUAGACUUUCCUGUUUAUUGCCCUUUUGCCUCAAUGGCCUCGUUUCCAUGUUCGCCUGUUUUAGCAUGGCAAGCGCACAUGAAGGUUAUAUAGUCAUCAUGUUUCAUGCACGAAUAUCAACAUGUUUCUCUUUGAUCAUGAUCCCAAUCACGAACCUGUCCUUAAUCCUAAUGUCACGAGGAAAUAACCGCAAGGAAAUGAGGCCACAGGGCAAUAAUACAAUAAACAGUACAGUCUAUUCUGGAUGAGUUAAAAUAUCAAUGUAUCCCUAUAAUAUCAAUCGAGUCCCCAUAGCGCUGCUAUUUUGCGAUCAGUUCGACAGCAUUCGUUCAAAUCUUCAUACGAAGACAGAUAAUUCGUUUUAUAAUUUCGAAUGCCACACGUUUCCACUAUAAUAUAAUCUCUAGCUGUCUGAUACAUUUUCUGUUUGUCGUUGUCGCCAGUGUAUAUCUUGAACAUAGCCAUUCGUGAUCGCUUGGCUGUCUUUUGCUGAGCCAUUUGUAAUCAAAUGAGCUGUGCCAUUCAUUCCUGAAAGUGACCAAGUUGCAAUUAGUACAUUUAAAUUUCAUAAUUUCUCAUCAUGCUGACCAUCAUGUUCACCAUUUUUUAUAUUACUACCAUCAUUAUUGACAAUUUAUACCAAUCAUAUCCUACAGCUUC
rnacentral:lncRNA from 1 species